rnacentral:rRNA from 1 species
CUCUAAUUUAAGAAUUAGUAGGCUCUGCUCAAUGAUAUAUUAGAUAGCCGCAGUAUUUUAACUGUGCUAAGGUAGCAUAAUAAUUAGGCCUUUUAUAGGGGUCUGGAAUGAAGGAGUUGACGAUUUUUAAGCUGUCCCAGUCUUGGGUUAGAAAUUUAUUUUUAAGUUAAAAAGCUUAACUCUCUAGAAAGACGAUAAGACCCUAUAAAACUUUACUAAUAAAAGGGGUGUAAAAGUAAAUCUGGUAAAAUUAGUUAAGCUGGGGCGGCAAUAAAAAUUCUUUUAUUAAUUUAACAAAAUUCUUGAGUAAUAAAGAUCUAAAAAAAGAUAGAAUAAGCUACUUUAGGGAUAACAGCGCAAUCUUUCUAAAGAGAUCCCAUCGAUAGAAAGGACUUGCGACCUCGAUGUUGAAUUGAGGGGCCUGGGUUGAGUAGAAAUAACCUAAGGGAGUCUGUUCGACUUUUAAUACCUC